rnacentral:lncRNA from 1 species
CAAAUUGCUAUGGCAGUGUAACAGAGAGAUGUGUCCAAAUCUAAUGAACAACCUCUUUUUAUUUCUCAGUAAGGAUCUGUUUCCGCUGUCUUAAAGUCAGUAGGUAAAAUCCCGUUGCCUUCUUGUAGGUCAGAAGUGGGAACAAAAUGCUAUUUUCCCCCAACCUCCAACCCACUGGGGCAGUUUAAUAAUUUUUUAGUAGUUGGAAGGUGGUAUAAGCAAGAAAAUAGGGGUGAGUUGUAAGGCAGCAGUGCAGCAUUUGGGCUGUACACAAAAUGAAUGCAAUGUAGGACCCACCAAAGAAUGCGAAGGGGGAAGGUCUUGGGCAUGGGAGUGGGAAGUAACAAAGGAAGAGAAUAUGUGCAAGAGGGGACUGUGGCCUUCACAUUGCUCCCCACUGUCUGCUCCAUCUGUGUAUGUCUCGACUUGCCCAGAAAUGCCCAAAGGAUGACAAUACUUUAGCUUUUACAUGUUUUCUCGUCUGCUUUCACAGACUUCAUGUUACUGAAGAAUUUGGCCUGGGUAUGUUUAUGAAGAUUGCUAUCCAUUACUUCACGUCUAGAUGUUGUCUCAAGUGACACUUGCUUUGCUGUGUACUGCCAAAAUACAACGAUACGGAUCCUUCGGUUAUGCACCCUGGCAUCUUCCUGGGCUGCUGGCUUCAGUUGCAGGGUCUUGGCAGUUUUAAGAACCAAAGAGCACUGAAUGAGAAACUCUCCAAAUGUUUAAAGCCUCCCCUCAUCUUGGAAAGCUUGAAAUGGACUUUCUACCUUUCGCAAAAUGUUCACAAAGUCUUUUCAUGUCAGGAUCGGACACUUCCUACAGAAUAUUAA